GGAUAAAAACCAAACACAUUUAUGUGCUUAAGGGAUAUUGCAUAAUAGUUUCAAUUCAUUUGUUACAUGCAAAGAAUGAGAAGUAUGGAUAAAACUAUCAAGUUUACAUAUGUUAUGAUUAUCUUUGUUUACUUAUUUCUUAUUGCAACAAAUGUUGAAGCAUAUAAAAAUAGAUGUUUUAGAGAUUCCGAUUGUCCCAAAGAAAUGUGUAACCAUCCUAAGAUACCAAAGUGUGUGAACAACGCCUAUUGCAAAUGUGUUGUGGCAAUGUAUUUUCCUCCCAAAUGAUUAUGUAUUUAGUGGCAUUCUUGGGAGAGUAUACAAAUGUAUUGCUAGAAUAUUUCAUGAGUUAUCGUUUAGUUAUUCUGUUGGCUCUCGCUAAUUUAUGUGAUUUCCUUUAUCGAAUAUCAAUAUCUUUGUAGUUAUGACUUUGUACAAUAAGAUGAUGAUUGUAAUGAAAUCAAAUUUGUAAAAUAAGGUGAUUAAAUAAGGUGAGUUUGCCUAUUCAAGCAAAUAAAACAUUUUUAAUA